UUCAGUUACCUGAUCCGUCAGGACCACCACUGUCACCUCUACUUAACCUCAAAAACAAAGUCACUCGUGUCAAAACCUCUACGACACGUGUUGCCAUCUCUUGAAAAUCUGGAAGGAGCGGAAUUGUUAGGUGUUUGUUUGGCGGGUGACACAAAAACACCAAGAAUCAUUAAGGCACGACAAUUCCUGCAAUUUUUUGGAAAUUAAAAUCUAAAAGGGGUUUCCCAAACCGAAAAUAAGAAAUUCUUGUUUUUCUAUGUUCUUAUAUUCUCAAGUAGUAUUAUAGUUUGAUGAUUGAUUUGGAAAGUAUAUAAAUUGUGUGCUUUGUAUUGUUUUUUGUCAAAACUAAAUGAAUAAUUUGAUGUU
ensembl:lincRNA linc-88 ncRNA